GACGAACGCUGGCGGCGUGCUUAACACAUGCAAGUCGAACGGAAAGGCCCUGCUUUUGUGGGGUGCUCGAGUGGCGAACGGGUGAGUAACACGUGAGUAACCUGCCCUUGACUUUGGGAUAACUUCAGGAAACUGGGGCUAAUACCGGAUAGGAGCUCCUGCUGCAUGGUGGGGGUUGGAAAGUUUCGGCGGUUGGGGAUGGACUCGCGGCUUAUCAGCUUGUUGGUGGGGUAGUGGCUUACCAAGGAUUUGACGGGUAGCCGGCCUGAGAGGGUGACCGGCCACAUUGGGACUGAGAUACGGCCCAGACUCCUACGGGAGGCAGCAGUGGGGAAUAGUGCACAAUGGGCGGAAGCCUGAUGCAGCAACGCCGCGUGCGGGAUGACGGCCUUCGGGUUGUAAACCGCUUUCGCCUGUGACGAAGCGUAAGUGACGGUAAUGGGUAAAGAAGCACCGGCUAACUACGUG
rnacentral:rRNA from 1 species